rnacentral:rRNA from 1 species
AACGAACGCUGGCGGCAUGCCUAACACAUGCAAGUCGAACGAGACCUUCGGGUCUAGUGGCGCACGGGUGCGUAACGCGUGGGAACCUGCCCUUAGGUUCGGAAUAACGCCCCGAAAGGGGUGCUAAUACCGGAUAAUGUCUUCGGACCAAAGAUUUAUCGCCUUUGGAUGGGCCCGCGUUGGAUUAGCUAGUUGGUAGGGUAAAAGCCUACCAAGGCGACGAUCCAUAGCUGGUCUGAGAGGAUGAUCAGCCACACUGGGACUGAGACACGGCCCAGACUCCUACGGGAGGCAGCAGUGGGGAAUAUUGGACAAUGGGCGAAAGCCUGAUCCAGCAAUGCCGCGUGAGUGAUGAAGGCCUUAGGGUUGUAAAGCUCUUUUACCCGGGAUGAUAAUGACAGUACCGGGAGAAUAAGCUCCGGCUAACUCCGUG